GAUGAACGCUGGCGGCGUGCCUAAUACAUGCAAGUCGAGCGAACAGACGAGGAGCUUGCUCCUCUGACGUUAGCGGCGGACGGGUGAGUAACACGUGGAUAACCUACCUAUAAGACUGGUAUAACUUCGGGAAACCGGAGCUAAUACCGGAUAAUAUAUUGAACCGCAUGGUUCAAUAGUGAAAGACGGUUUUGCUGUCACUUAUAGAUGGAUCCGCGCCGCAUUAGCUAGUUGGUAAGGUAACGGCUUACCAAGGCAACGAUGCGUAGCCGACCUGAGAGGGUGAUAGGCCACACUGGAACGGAGACACGGUCCAGACUACUACGGGAGGCAGCAGUAGGGAAUCGGCCGCAAUGGGCGAAAGCAUGACGGAGCAAGGCCGCGUGAGUGAUGAAGGUCUUCGGAUCGUAAAACUCUGUUAUGAGGGAAGAACAAAUGUGUAAGUAAAUAUGCACGUCUUGACGGUACCUAAUCAGAAAGCCACGGCUAACUACGUG
rnacentral:rRNA from 1 species